UGCAAAUAAUAGAAUAGUAAUAGCAGCAAUGAGAGUGCUAGCAAUAUAGUGGCGGCAUAUGGAUGUUGGCAAAAGCAAUAAUGAUAACAGUAGCUAUAAUGAUGGUGAUAACUGUAUAGCAAAACUAAUGGCAAUAAUCACUAUAGCAUUGAUGUGUGGCAAAGAUAAUAGAGAUGGCAACUAUAGGAAUUUUGAAGGUGGUCGUGGUUGCAACGAUGGCGAUGAC
rnacentral:lncRNA from 1 species